GGGGUCCUCACUUUGGGCGGCAUCUCCAUCCCCACUCCGGACAAAUCCUGCUUCUCCUCACCUAGCACCAACUUCUCCCCCGGCUUCUACUAGCUCACCUGCGGUGGCUGGGCUACCCAGAAAGCACGGUUGGGAGCCCUCGGGGUGGAAGUUUACACCCUCCCCCUGGGCCUUCUGGGAAAUGUAGUCCACGGUCGGUAGCCGGUGGGCUUGGGCUCUGAGUGUGCAGGCGCAGACACGCUCGGACGGGGCGGCUCUCCUCCCGGACUCUGGUACCCGCAUUCUCGCGCGGUGAGCUGACAGAACUCACCCGGGAGCAGUCCCGGCUAUGCGAGCCUCGACAGCCCUCCAGACAAUGGAGUCCACAGUCUUGACAGCCGAGUGCGUCCGUGGUGCCGCCCUGAGGCCGACCGCGUGCCAGGCGGAUUCUGUCAGAUUCUUCCCUCGAGAGCAGACAGAGAAAAGGGAUCUGUUUCCCUUAGAAGGAAAACAUUUGCUUUCAAGACUCCACUUCCAAUGUGUUCACGUGUCGGGCUGUUCAGCAAACUGGCCUUACUUUUUCCUUCAUAAUGCAGUAGCAUGUAGCUGAGAACAGAAAAAAGCAGUCCCUGACAUCCAGGAACUGGCCUGACACUUACAGGUAGGCCUCAGUGGUAUUGAAAGAUAGCUUAGUGCUCACAGCUGAGCCACAUUAUCCUGUUGGACAUAAGCAGUCUCACAGAACAUCAGCAUCAGGGUCACUCAGACCAUAAUGAUGGGGGGCCACUUUAUAAUUUUGUCUAAGCAUAGACAACAAGGUUGCUAGGCAACCCUCAAAAUAUACCAGAUAUCCCUUCUUCCAGCUAAUGUGAGUGGCUACUACUUUUUACCUCUAAUUGGUAAAAAGGAGUAGCUUCACACUAGUCUGCUGUCAUUUCUGGGGUACAUGGCUUUGGUUUUUUCCCAGUCUCUUUGCCCUUUAUCACUGAUGUUUACAAUGUGUUUUAUCCCUUUGUGACAGGACCCAGGGAUCACUCCUGCGUUUAAAUUAGGUACUUAACAACAGUAACAAAG
rnacentral:lncRNA from 1 species